rnacentral:rRNA from 1 species
GACGUAGGGCGCAAGCGUUGUCCGGAAUUAUUGGGCGUAAAGAGCUCGUAGGCGGCUUGUUGCGUCGACUGUGAAAAACCACGACUCAACCGUGGGACUGCAGUCGAUACGGGCAGGCUAGAGUUCGGUAGGGGAGACUGGAAUUCCUGGUGUAGCGGUGAAAUGCGCAGAUAUCAGGAGGAACACCGGUGGCGAAGGCGGCGAUCUGGGUCGAUACUGACGCUGAGGUGCGAAAGCGUGGGGAGCAAACAGG